GAUGAACGCUGGCGGCGUGCUUAACACAUGCAAGUCGAACGAACCUUCGGGUUAGUGGCGGACGGGUGAGUAACGCGUGAGAAUCUGCCCUCAGGAGGGGGACAACAGCUGGAAACGGCUGCUAAUACCCCAUAUGCCGCGAGGUGAAAUGAAUUUCGCCUGAGGAUGAGCUCGCGUCUGAUUAGCUAGUUGGUGUAGGUAAUGGCUCACCAAGGCAUCGAUCAGUAGCUGGUCUGAGAGGAUGAUCAGCCACACUGGGACUGAGACACGGCCCAGACUCCUACGGGAGGCAGCAGUGGGGAAUUUUCCGCAAUGGGCGAAAGCCUGACGGAGCAACGCCGCGUGAGGGAUGAAGGCCUCUGGGCUGUAAACCUCUUUUAUCAAGGAAGAAGAUCUGACGGUACUUGAAGGAAAGCCACGGCUAAUUCCGU
rnacentral:rRNA from 1 species